rnacentral:rRNA from 1 species
UACGGAGGGUGCGAGCGUUGUCCGGAAUCACUGGGCGUAAAGGGCGCGUAGGUGGCCUGUGGAAGUCUGCGGUGAAAGCCCGGCGCUCAACGCCGGGUCGGCCGUGGAUACUCUCGGGCUUGAGCUCACUAGAGGCAGAUGGAAUUCCGGGUGUAGUGGUGAAAUGCGUAGAGAUCCGGAGGAACACCAGUGGCGAAGGCGACACGCUGGGCCGUACCUGACACUGAUACGCGACAGCAUGGGGAGCGAACGGG